rnacentral:rRNA from 1 species
GCCAGACUCCUACGGGAGGCAGCAGUGGGGAAUAUUGCACAAUGGGGGAAACCCUGAUGCAGCGACGCCGCGUGAGCGAUGAAGUAUUUCGGUAUGUAAAGCUCUAUCAGCAGGGAAGAAGAUGACGGUACCUGACUAAGAAGCCCCGGCUAACUACGUGCCAGCAGCCGCGGUAAUACGUAGGGGGCAAGCGUUAUCCGGAUUUACUGGGUGUAAAGGGAGCGUAGACGGCUGCGCAAGUCAGAGUGAAAGCCCGGGGCUCAACCGCGGGACUGCUUUUGAAACUGUGUAGCUAGAGUGCAGGAGAGGUAAGUGGAAUUCCUAGUGUAGCGGUGAAAUGCGUAGAUAUUAGGAGGAACACCGGUGGCGAAGGCGGCUUACUGGACUGUAACUGACGUUGAGGCUCGAAAGCGUGGGGAGCAAACAGGAUUAGAUACCCGCGUAA